rnacentral:rRNA from 1 species
GAUGAACGCUGGCGGCGUGCCUAAUACAUGCAAGUCGAGCGAACAGAUGAGGAGCUUGCUCCUCUGACGUUAGCGGCGGACGGGUGAGUAAAACGUGGAUAACCUACCUAUAAGACUGGGAUAACUUCGGGAAACCGGAGCUAAUACCGGAUAAUAUAUUGAACCGCAUGGUUCAAUAGUGAAAGACGGUUUUGCUGUCACUUAUAGAUGGAUCCGCGCCGCAUUAGCUAGUUGGUAAGGUAACGGCUUACCAAGGCAACGAUGCGUAGCCGACCUGAGAGGGUGAUCGGCCACACUGGAACUGAGACACGGUCCAGACUCCUACGGGAGGCAGCAGUAGGGAAUCUUCCGCAAUGGGCGAAAGCCUGACGGAGCAACGCCGCGUGAGUGAUGAAGGUCUUCGGAUCGUAAAACUCUGUUAUUAGGGAAGAACAAAUGUGUAAGUAACUAUGCACGUCUCGACGGUACCUAAUCAGAAAGCCACGGCUAACUACGUG